UGAGUUUUCUUUCCCAGGGAAAAAUGGCAUUGUUUGUGCUCAGGGGCCUGUGGCCCUGAGCGGGCGGCUGACUGCAAAAAAUCCAAAUGGCGAUACACUCCAGGACCUCAAUGGCCUCUUUCAAGUGAAGGACCCAAAACUGAGUGCAGUAUUUGAGGUGCCUCAGCUGUGCCAAGUACAGAGGUGGUGAUGCCAGCCCCACCCACCCCCAGGUGCCCUUCUCUACCUCUUUUCACCUUCCCUCCAGGCCAGAUGAAUGCACUUCUUCACUGAUGCUUGGCUGCUACCCUACAUGAGGAAGAAAAACACAUUAAGCAAUUCCAACAUUUUGAACAACAAUGAAGACAAAUGCUAAUAAAGAAUUGCAUUUAUUUUUA